UAUCAAUCACCACCAAUAUUGAAACCACCAACCCCUCCACCUCUAGUGAAAUCACCACCUUAUCAAUCACCACCAAUUGUGAAACCACCAACUCCUGUUGCUCCAACUACACCAACUCCAAUAGUUAAAUCAUGGAAGGGUAAGUGACUUUCCAUUUUUAUACAUGUCUUUCAUAUGUAACAUUUUAAUACUAAUACAUAACAUGUUUCUUAAUCAUGGUAUGUAACGGCUAUUGCGACCGCAAUAUAAUAGUUUUAAAAUCAUAACUAUAAUUGUAGUCGCAAUAGUCAUUUGGUCACAUCGGUUGCAUUGCCCGUAAAUUAUUAAUUUGUAAAAUGUGAUGAAUUAAU
rnacentral:lncRNA from 1 species